CUGGUUGAUCCUGCCAGACCCGACUGCUAUCAGAGUGGGACUAAGCCAUGCGAGUCAACAUAGCAAUAUGUGGCAUACGGCUCAGUAACACGUAGUCAACAUGCCCAGGGGACGUGGAUAACCUCGGGAAACUGAGGAUAAACCGCGAUAGGUCAUCACUUCUGGAAUGGGUAAUGACUUAAACCUAUAUGGCCCCUGGAUUGGACUGCGGCCGAUCAGGCUGUUGGUGAGGUAAUGGCCCACCAAACCUGUAACCGGUACGGGCUCUGAGAGGAGGAGCCCGGAGAUGGGCACUGAGACAAGGGCCCAGGCCCUAUGGGGCGCAGCAGGCGCGAAACCUCUGCAAUAGGCGAAAGCUUGACAGGGUUACUCUGAGUGAUUUCCGUUAAGGAGAUCUUUUGGCACCUCUAAAAAUGGUGCAGAAUAAGGGGUGGGCAAGUCUGGUGUCAGCCCCCCGCGGUAAUACCAGCACCCCGAGUGGUCGGGACGUUUAUUGGGCCUAAAGCAUCCGUAGCCGGUUCUACAAGUCUUCCGUUAAAUCCACCUGCUUACAGGUGGGCUGCCGGAAGAUACUAUAGAGCUAGGAGGCGGGAGAGGCAGCCGUACUCCGAUGGGUAGGGUAAAUCCUUUGAUCAUUGAAGAACACCCGUGGCGAGGCGGCUUGCCGACCCCCCUCACGGUGAAGAUUAAACUGGGGACCAACCGGAUAAAACCCGGGAGCCCCAGCGUAACAUGCA
rnacentral:rRNA from 1 species